UGUUGACCUCGGAUCAGGUAGGAAUACCCGCUGAACUUAAGCAUAUCAAUAAGCGGAG
rnacentral:rRNA from 1 species